GGCGAAUCUCUCUGGGAGCUGUCUGCCUGGAUUGCUCCUGUAAACACUACUCACAGUCACACCAGGAUAGGUUUCACCGAGCAAGUUCUCAAUGUUGAUCAGGCAUCGCAGAGGUACAUAAAAAA